ACUUUCGUAGUGUAGUGGUCAGCACGUUCUGCUCGUAUUCGAAACGUCCGUAGUUCGAGUCCCGGCGAAAGCG
rnacentral:tRNA from 1 species